AUGGGUGGUGUGGGGAAAACUGCUCUGGUCAAGGAAAUCUAUCAAAGCCAAGAACUAGCUGGAGCGUUCGAGAAGCGGGCCUGUGUCACGGUCAUGAGCCCUUUCGAUAAGGUUCAGCUCUUGAGGAGCUUAGCUAUGCAGCUAGUGGUGGUAGAACCUCCUGAAGAUUAUGAAACGAUAUGCUCAUUGGGCAGCAGAGCCAAAACACCAUUGUUUUGGUCGAUUCAAAAGCUCAAGAAUGAGAUGGAAAGUAUUCUGAAAGAAAAGAAGUGCUUGAUUGCUUUUGAUGACUUGUCAUCAACCACUGAAUGGGACAUGAUAUGGUCUAGCUUACCUCAAAUGGGAAAUGCAAGCCGGAUCUUAGUCACCACAAGGGAAGAAAAUGUUGCCAAUUAUUGUUCAAAGGAACAAGAAAAUGUAUGCAAGCUUCAAGUUCUAGAUAGGGAGCAUGCACUCGGCCUCUUCAUGAAAAAGGUAUUUAAGGAGAAGGAACAUUUGCAUCGGCAAUAUCCUGAGUUGAUUGAACAAGCAGAGCAACUUCUGAAGAAAUGCGACGGCCUUCCUCUUGCAAUAAUCGCCAUAGGUGGCUUCUUGGCAAAUCAACCAAAAACUGCCAUGGAGUGGAGAAAACUGAAUCAGAACCUUAGUACUCAGUUGGAGAUGAAUCCAGAGCUCGACACAAUAAGAACGGUCCUUCUCAAAAGCUAUGAUGGUUUACCCUAUCAUCUCAAGGCUUGUUUCUUGUAUCUGGCAAUCUUCCCCGAAGACUAUAAGAUUAGUCUAACACGUUUGUUGCAGCGGUGGGUCGCAGAGGGCUACUCAAGAGAGGUGAAUGGAAAGUCUUCGUAUGAAAUAGCAGAGAGUUACUUCAGGGACCUCGUAAGCAGGAGCAUGAUCCUACCAACCCGGCGAUCAGGUCAUAGUAGCAAUGAAAUGGGCUCUUGCCAGCUCCAUGAUAUCAUCCGUGAGAUUGGCAUCUCAAAAUCAGUGGAAGAAAAUCUUGUUUUCAGGUUGGAGGAAGGUUGCAGCUUAAACAGCCAACACAGAACACGUCACCUCUCUGUAAGCAACAAUUGGAAGGGAGACCAGAAUGAAUUUGAGAGCACGGUAGACCUGUCUCGUGUUCGAUCAAUAACAAUCUUUGGGAAGUGGAGACCAUUCUUCAUCUCCAACAAGAUGAGGUUGCUGCGAGUGCUGGACUUGGAAGGCACUUCAGAUCUGGUUGAUCAUCAUCUCAUGCACAUUGGGAAGCUUAUCCACUUGAGAUACCUUUCCUUGAGAGAAUGUUAUGGAAUUUAUCACCUGCCAGGUUCUUUGGGUAACCUGAGGCAACUUCAGACACUAGACAUCACAGGUACAAACAUAAUCAAACUGCCUAAGACGGUCAUAAAGCUCCGGAAGCUACAGCACGUUCGUGCCAGGGGCGUUGGGAGCAACGAUGAUUGUACGUAUGGAGAGUAUCCAGAAGAGGUGCCGAAGAUAAUGAGGAACAAGCUAUGCAUCCUGACCUGCUCCUCGGUGGGGUUCUGCGUGGCAUGUUGCGCGCCUCACCUUCUGAAGGAGUGCAUGGGUAUUGAUGGGGACAUCAACAGGCGUGAUGUCUGCACCGCAUGCUGCUGCUCCUAUCUGCCGAUGCAGGUGAAACGCCGGAGCAGACGCGGUGUUAGAGUGCCCAGAGGGAUCCACAGGCUCAAAGCCCUGCACACGCUGGGUGUGGUCAACGUCUCAAAGAAGGCUACUCUGAGAGAGGUAGCGAGGCUCACCGGGCUGCGCAAGCUGGGAGUGACCGGCGUUGAUGAGAGCAACAGCGGAGAGCUAUGUUUGGCCCUGGCCAAUCUCAGCUGUCUAGAGUCGCUGCUAGUGCAGUCGGAGGGUAAGCCGGGUUUAUUUGGCUGCUUGAAUGGCUUGUCCUCACCUCCGGAAAACCUUGAAAGCCUGAAGCUGUAUGGCAAUCUGGAAUGUUUGCCAACAUGGAUCGACGAUGGGCUAAAAAAUCUGACAAAGCUCAACCUGCGGAGUUCCAGGAUAUCGGGCCAUGAUACUGCCAUAAAAGUCCUUGGGAGUCUACCAAACCUAGCGAUCCUGCGUCUGCGCAAAGAGUCGUUUGAGGGUGAAGAGGUCCAUCUUCAUUUCCGUCGGGGCGCAUUCCAGACCCUAAUGGUGCUGGAGCUGAGUUCCCCAGGUAAGCUCAAAUCUGUGAGGUUUCAAAAGGGAGCAACCCCUAAGCUUGAGCUGCUGCAAUAUAAGUAUUCUGAUCAGCCUGAGGAAGAUGUUGUUUCAAAAGAAAACGAUGACGAUCAGUUUAAAGAAGCCCCUAGAGUUGGGUUGUUUUCUGGGCUAGCAUCUCUGGGAAGCCUCAAGGAAUUUCUGCUCAUGGGUGGCAACUACAAGGGCGACUUCGUGAAAAAUUUACGAUCCCAACUUGAGUCGAACCCGAAACAGCCUCUUCUCAAGAUGGACUGA
rnacentral:rRNA from 1 species